AAUGAACGCUGGCGGCGCGCCUAAUACAUGCAAGUCGAGCGAGAAGACGUAGCAAUACGUUUGUAAAGCGGCGAACGGGUGAGGAAUACAUGGGUAACCUACCCUCGAGUGGGGAAUAACUAGCCGAAAGGUUAGCUAAUACCGCGUACGCUUCUUGGACUUCGGUUCAGGGAGGAAAGCGAUGCCGAGGGUAUCGCGCUCUUGGAUGGGCUCAUGUCCUAUCAGCUUGUUGGGAGGUAACGGCUCACCAAGGCUUCGACGGGUAGCUGGUCUGAGAGGACGAUCAGCCACACUGGCACUGCGACACGGGCCAGACUCCUACGGGAGGCAGCAGUAAGGAAUAUUGCGCAAUGGGCGAAAAGCCUGACGCAGCGACGCCGCGUGGGGGAUGAAGGU
rnacentral:rRNA from 1 species